rnacentral:tRNA from 1 species
GCCCCUGUAGCUCAGCGCUAAGAGCG